CGCGGGAUGGAGCAGUUGGCAGCUCGUCGGGCUCAUAACCCGAAGGUCGCAGGUUCAAGUCCUGCUCUCGCAACCA
rnacentral:tRNA from 1 species